UACGUAGGGUGCAAGCGUUGUCCGGAAUUAUUGGGCGUAAAGAGCGUGUAGGCGGCCAGGUAGGUCUGCUGUGAAAACUCGAGGCUCAACCUCGAGACGUCGGCGGAAACCAUCUGGCUAGAGUCCGGAAGAGGCGAGUGGAAUUCCUGGUGUAGCGGUGAAAUGCGCAGAUAUCAGGAGGAAUACCGAUUGCGAAGGCAGCUCGCUGGGACGUAACUGACGCUGAGACGCGAAAGCGUGGGGAGCAAACAGG
rnacentral:rRNA from 1 species